UUGAUAUUCACAUAAUAUGUGUACGGAGUAUUCACCUAAAAAGAAAGCACAACAUUAAACACGGAAAAAGUGCAAGAGAUAUGCAAGUGAGAAAAGUACUACAAAACAAAGUCACAAGCUAAAGUAAAUACAAUGAAUGCAAACCAAGUACCUCUUAUUAACUACUACUGCAUAAUUAUGCAGACAAGCUACAAAUUUC
rnacentral:lncRNA from 1 species